GUUUCAUCUUCUCUUUUAUCUUCUCUGUACAUUGUCAAUGAAAAUUCAAGAGUAAUUUUUCUUCCUUUUGCUCAAUCAAACAUUGUUUGCUCAUCUUCAUAAGGUCAGCUGAUGUUGGUGAAUUUGUGCUGUUUUUCUGCGAUCUCGAUUGGUGAAGUUGAGAAAAUUUGGAACAUUGGUGAAUGGGUGGGGAAUUUGUGUGAAGUUUUGUAGAGGUUUUUGGGUGUGUGAAAAAUGAAAAAUCUUUGAAUUUUUAGUUUUUUUUUUUGUUGGAUUGGAGUAUUAAUUUGAAUGAUUUCUGGUUGGAGUAGAGAUGGAAGGAAGGGGAUAGGUUUAGGGUUUGAUGGUGGAGUAGAAAUGAUGGAGGAAACUGAGCUUGAAAAAGAAGAAGAAUAGGAAGAAAUAAUGUUUUAGCAAAGAAUUUUUUUUUUUUGAUGUUUUAGCAAAGAACCUUGUUGGAAAGAAAGUAUAUAAAGAAAUAAAGUGUAAAGGGUAUUUUUGUAAACAUACACUUUUUAAAUAUAAGUUAUGCAA